rnacentral:lncRNA from 1 species
UCUGUUCCAGAAUGGAUAUCUUCCCUUGAUCAAAUCAACAUAGUUCUUCAAAUAUGCUUUUAGGUUGGUGAAGCUGUGAGAACCGCGCACAUACACAACUUCUCCCAAGAUUUGAGAACUAAAGGGCAUGUAAAAUAGGUGUGCUUUGUUUGGGUCAUUGGUAAGGAAAUGUUGGCUUGCUUUUAACUGCUGCAUGAACCAACCAAUUUGAGAACUAAAGGGCAAGUAAAAUAGGUGUGCUUUGUUUGGGUCAUUGGUAAGGAAAUGCUGGCUUGCUUUUAACUGCUGCAUGAACCAGCCUUCUGAAGCAUAGAUGCCCUUGAGCCUUGGUUGAUGGAAUACUGGUCUCUUUCCCUCCCUGUAUAUGUAAACCU